rnacentral:lncRNA from 1 species
AACAAUAGAAUUUCAAAAAUACUAUAAGCAAAGGAAAAAUGUUUGAAAAAUAGCCAUGCAAAGACAUAUUUAAUUGUAAUAAAAUUUAAGAUGUGUUGCAUUCCAGGUGUUUGGGAUAGCUUGUCCAUUAAGGAGCUCAAGACGAUAGGUUUCAUUCAUUGAAUCCUCUGAGAUGCGAAACGAUCCUUCCCAAUUGGCUUCUAUCUUUCCAUGAGCCCUAUUCUUUCUGGCCUCCCUUCUCUUACGCCACACAAGACCCCCC